GCCUGGGUGGCUCAGUGGGUUGAGCGUUGGGCUUUUGAUUUCAGCUCAGGUCAGGAUCCCAGGGUCAUGGGAUCGAGUCCCUCCUCAGGGU
rnacentral:tRNA from 1 species